AUGCGAUGAGUCGAUUGUGGUUUAUACCACAUACGCUAAGGAGAUCAUAAUGCAGGAGCAGAUCUUGGCAAGUUGUGUGAACCUGCUUGCCACACUUAAUCAAAAGUGCCUUUUCCCUUGUAAUAACAAGGGCUUUU
rnacentral:sRNA from 13 species